rnacentral:rRNA from 1 species
ACCGGCGCAAGGGUGCGUAACGCGUGAGCAACAUGCCCGUAUCAGGGGGAUAAUCCAGGGAAACUUGGUCUAAUACCCCAUAGUAAUCAUGGAAGGCAUCUUUUAUGAUUUAAAGCUUAGGUGGAUACGGAUUGGCUCGCGUGACAUUAGUUAGAUGGUAAGGUAACGGCUUACCAUGACUAUGAUGUCUAGGGGUUCUGAGAGGAAGGUCCCCCACACUGGAACUGAGACACGGUCCAGACUCCUACGGGAGGCAGCAGUGAGGAAUAUUGGACAAUGGAUGGAAAUCUGAUCCAGCCAUGCCGCGUGCAGGAAGAAUGUCCUAUGGAUUGUAAACUGCUUUUGUAUGGGAGCAAUAAGGUCUUCGAGAAGGCCGAUGAGAGUACCAUACGAAUAAGCACCGGCUAACUCCGUGCCAGCAGCCGCGGUAAUACGGAGGGUGCAAGCGUUAUCCGGAUUUAUUGGGUUUAAAGGGUGCGUAGGCGGUUAUAUAAGUCAGCGGUGAAAUUUUUCGGCUCAACCGGAAACAUGCCGUUGAUACUGUAUAGCUUGAAUAUGGUUGCUGUGAGUGGAAUGUGUAGUGUAGCGGUGAAAUGCUUAGAUAUUACACAGAAUAUCGAUUGCGAAGGCAACUCACAAAGCCAAUAUUGACGCUGAGGCACGAAAGUGUGGGGAUCAAACAGGAUUAGAUACCCUGGUAGUCCACACU